AUGAGUGUGCUGGUGACAUUUAAGUUUCUGGUUCCAUUUGUCUCUAACAUCCAGCUGCAUGCCUAUCCUUCUCUGGUCUAUGAAACAAACUGCAGUAUCAUUCAAAACCCCCUCUUCACAGAAGCUACUUCAAGCCUCCUAAUUGGAUGCCCUACCUCCAGCACUAGUAUUCCUGAAUUCAUUCUCUAUACUAAUGCCAGUGGUGUUUGGGCCCACGAACAGCUAAAUGUGAAACAUGAACCUCUCCAGCUCAUCCAGCCUCAGUUUGAGAUGCCACUGCCAGCCCUUCAGCCAGUGGUUUUCCCUCCCAGUUUCAGGGAAUUACCACCUCCUCCGCUGGAGCUAUUUGACUUAGAUGAGACGUUCUCUUCUGAGAAGGCCCGCCUUGCUCAGAUUACCAAUAAGUGUACUGAAGAAGACCUGGAAUUCUAUGUCAGAAAAUGUGGUGACAUUCUUGGAGUAACCAAUAAACUACCAAAGGACCAACAAGAUGCCAAACAUAUCCUUGAGCACAUCUUCUUCCAAGUGGUGGAGUUCAAGAAAUUGAACCAGGAACAUGACAUUGAUACAAGUGAACCAGCAUUCCAGAACAAUUUCUGAGGACCUUGCCUCUUGAAGCAUCUUCUGCCUCCUGAUUUUCUUUGUAAACUAUUUUUGAAUUCUUCAACUCCUUAUGAAAAUUGUCUGUACACUCUUUACCCCAUGAGUUGUAGGUCGGUGCAUCUCCUGUAGUGCCCAGAUAGAUAUAACAUUUCUAACAAGAUCCUUAUGUGAGAUACAUUCCAUUUUUAAAAUUAAAUCUGACUGAAUCCCUA